AGAUCUGCCAGCGACAGUGGCUGCUAUUAAGAAUCCCAGUUCAAAAAUUGUAUAUGAUGAUAGCAACCAUGAGCGUUAUCCACCUGGUGACCCCAGCAAACGUGCAUUUGCUUACUUUGUUUUGACAGGAGGCAGGUUUGUCUAUGCCUCAUUGGUUCGCCUCCUGAUUCUUAAGUUUGUUCUGAGCAUGUCUGCCAGUAAAGAUGUCCUUGCACUUGCUUCUCUUGAGGUGGAUCUUUCCAGCAUUGAACCUGGGACAACUGUUACUGUCAAGUGGCGUGGGAAGCCUGUUUUCAUCAGACGCCGCACUGAGGAGGACAUCAAUUUGGCGAACAGUGUUGAUCUUGGCUCCCUUCGCGACCCACAACAAGAUGCUGAGAGGGUCAAAAAUCCAGAAUGGCUUGUAGUCAUCGGGGUAUGUACUCAUUUAGGGUGCAUACCUUUACCAAAUGCUGGUGAUUUUGGUGGUUGGUUUUGCCCAUGCCAUGGCUCCCACUAUGACAUCUCUGGUAGGAUUCGCAAAGGACCUGCACCAUAUAAUCUGGAGGUGCCUACCUA
rnacentral:lncRNA from 1 species